UUGGUCCGUUGCUAAGACUGGAUAGGAAAUAAAAAGGCAUCUUUUUAUUUUUAAAAGACCUUUUUCGGAAGGUAUGCUUAAAGAGGGGCUUGCGGCACAUUAGUUAGUUGGUAGGGUAAAGGCCUACCAAGACUAUGAUGUGUAGCUGGACUGAGAGGUUGAACAGCCACAUUGGGACUGAGACACGGCCCAAACUCCUACGGGAGGCAGCAGUAGGGAAUUUUCGGCAAUGGAGGAAACUCUGACCGAGCAACGCCGCGUGAACGAUGAAGUAUUUCGGUAUGUAAAGUUCUUUUAUUGAAGAAGAAAAAAUAGUGGAAAAACUAUCUUGACGCUAUUCAAUGAAUAAGCCCCGGCAAACUAUGUGCCAGCAGCCGCGGUAAUACAUAGGGGGCAAGCGUUAUCCGGAAUUAUUGGGCGUAAAGGGUGCGUAGGCGGUUUAAUAAGUCUAUAGUUUAAUUUCAGUGCUUAACACUGUCCUGCUAUAGAAACUAUUAAACUGGAGUGAGAUAGAGGCAAGUGGAAUUCCAUGUGUAGCGGUAAAAUGCGUAAAUAUAUGGAGGAACACCAGAGGCGUAGGCGGCUUGCUGGGUCUUUACUGACGCUGAGGCACGAAAGCGUGGGGAGCAAACAGGAUUAGAUACCCUGGUAGUCCACGCCGUAAACGAUGAGUACUAAGUGUCGGGGUUACUCGGUACUGAAGUUAACACAUUAAGUACUCCGCCUGAGUAGUACGUACGCAAGUAUGAAACUUAAAGGAAUUGACGGGACUCCGCACAAGCGGUGGAUCAUGUUGUUUAAUUUGAAGAUACACGAAAAACCUUACCAGGUCUUGACAUACUCUGCAAAGCUAUAGCAAUAUAGUGGAGGUUAUCAGGGAUACAGGUGGUGCAUGGUUGUCGUCAGCUCGUGUCGUGAGAUGUUAGGUUAAGUCCUAAAACGAGCGCAACCCUUGUCACUAGUUGCCAGCAUGUUAUGAUGGGCACUUUAGUGAGACUGCCAAUGAAAAAUUGGAGGAAGGUGAGGAUCACGUCAAAUCAUCAUGCCCCUUAUGAUCUGGGCUACAAACGUGAUACAAUGGCUGUUACAAAGAGUAGCUGAAACGCAAGUUAAUAGCCAAUCUCAUAAAAACAGUCUCAGUUCGGAUUGAAGUCUGCAACUCGACUUCAUGAAGUUGGAAUCGCUAGUAAUCGCGAAUCAGCAUGUCGCGGUGAAUACGUUCUCGGGGUUUGUACACACCGCCCGUCAAACCACGAAAGUUGGUAAUACUCGAAAACGGUAGCCUAACUUCUUCGGAAGAGGGAACCGUCUAAGGUAGGAUCGAUGAUUGGGGUUAAGUCGUAACAAGUACCCUCCGGGG
rnacentral:rRNA from 1 species